UAGGGAAACUUAGGCUAAUACCGCAUACGACCUACGGGUGAAAGCGGGGGAUCGCAAGACCUCGCGCGACAGGAUGAGCCGAUGUCCGAUUAGCUAGUUGGCGGGGUAAAGGCCCACCAAGGCGACGAUCGGUAGCUGGUCUGAGAGGAUGAUCCCCCACACUGGUACUGAGACACGGCCCAAACUCCUACGGGAGGCAGCAGUGGGGAAUCUUGCGCAAUGGGCGAAAGCCUGACGCAGCCAUGCCGCGUGUAUGAUGAAGGUCUUAGGAUUGUAAAAUACUUUCACCGGUGAAGAUAAUGACUGUAGCCGGAGAAGAAGCCCAGGCUAACUUCGUGCCAGCAGCCGCGGUAAUACGAAGGGGGCUAGCGUUGCUCGGAAUUACUGGGCGUAAAGGGAGCGUAGGCGGACAUUUAAGUCAGGGGUGAAAUCCCAGAGCUCAACUCUGGAACUGCCUUUGAUACUGGAUGUCUUGAGUGUGAGAGAGGUAUGUGGAACUCCGAGUGUAGAGGUGAAAUUCGUAGAUAUUCGGAAGAACACCAGUGGCGAAGGCGACAUACUGGCUCAUUACUGACGCUGAGGCUCGAAAGCGUGGGGAGCAAACAGGAUUAGAUACCCUGGUAGUCCACGCCGUAAACGAUGAUUGCUAGUUGUCGGGAUGCAUGCAUUUCGGUGACGCAGCUAACGCAUUAAGCAAUCCGCCUGGGGAGUACGGUCGCAAGAUUAAAACUCAAAGGAAUUGACGGC
rnacentral:rRNA from 1 species